UACGGGGGGAGCGAGCGUUGUCCGGAAUCAUUGGGCGUAAAGGGCAUUCAGGUGGGUCUUUAAGUCAGUUGUUAAAUCUUGCGGCUUAACCGUAUGAUGCAAUUGAUACUGGAGAUCUUGAGUUUGAGAGGGGACAGUGGAAUACCUAGUGUAGCGGUGGAAUGCGUAGAUAUUAGGUAGAACACCGGCGGCGAAGGCGACUGUCUGGCUCAUAACUGACACUGAAGUGCGAAAGCAUGGGUAGCAAACAGG
rnacentral:rRNA from 1 species